UAGCUUCUUGAAGGGUGCUGACUCUUUUUGUGCUAGGACGAACCCAUCUCCACCUACACAGAAGGGCCAAGCUCAAGUGCCCCAAACAGAUGCAUACAUUAUAGCUUCUGAAAUUGUGAGAAAUGGCAAAGCUUCGCUUAAGGGAAAGGCUCAAGCUGGUGACGGCUCGAGUAGUGCACAACCACCCAACAUGGAUAAGCAUGAGAAGGCAUCCACCAAUGGGAUUAAAUUAAUAUAUGAAGCCACAACUUGUGGUUGCUCUAAAGAUAUACCCCUUGUUGACCUUACUGGGGGGUACAGAGGUGGUCGCCGAUGAAUAGCAAACAGGCACAGAACACAUGUUGCCUAGAUCAAACAUCGCCAAGAAGGCGAAAAGGGCACUUGCAGUUAGGUUCAAGAGGAAGAGCGGCAACAACCCAAAGGUUUCUGAAUAGAGCCAUGUUGAGAAGGCAUGCAAGGUGGAUUCAGACUGUAAGUGUUGCAAACGCCCCUCUCUUUGAUUUCUGCUUCUUACUUAGAUGGGUCAUAACCUAUGAAUAUUAUGAUGUGCUUUACAAUGAGCGAUACCUAGAGUGUAGCAGCAAGCCAAGAUUUAAUGGAGAAGAUAUGCUCUGACAUCAAGGUUCGUGUUGAGGGGCCUGAUAAAUCACCCAUUGUUGAGUUCAAGGCCAAUCUGCCAUCUUUUGAUCCUUCCCCCGAUAAAUACGACCGAGUACCGGGAGUCAUUCUAAAAGCCCCGGACAUCACCGAGGAAUCACAACGUGAUUUAUUUUUGUAUGGCAAGCAACACCUGCAAACUAUCCAUGGUCUUGCAAGUGACACAAAGCUCGACAAACCCAUGUUCAUUGAAAAAAUUGAUAAGUUGUUGGCCCGUUGGGAGAAACUGUUCUCUGCCCAAUUUAGUGAGGGUAUGGAGCAGAUGGUGGAAGCACUCAAGGACCUGAGAGAACUUCUUGUGGGCGAUUCUGCACCACUUCUCCCCUUUAAUGCCUCUGCUGUUGCUGCUCAAAAAACUAAGGUUCAGGAGGCACUAAAUAAGGCUCCUGCCAUCAAAGAGGCCAUCCCUGUAGCUUUAGCAAAGAUUGAAGAAGUUGAAAUUGCGGCCAAGAUAAAAUGUGCGGCUCUAACUACUUCUAUGAAGCAUCAAGAAUAGGAGGUUGCAAAGCUAAAGGCCUCGCUGGAACUCGCAGAGGCAAAUCUAAAGGAGACACAAGGCCAUCAUGCUGAAAUAGAAGAGUUCUUCAAGAAAAGUGAAGCACCUCAGCAGGAUCUGCACAAGGCUUCAGAAGAUGUGAAGGAGAAUCUCAAUCGCCACGGACUUGCACAAACAGAGAUACAAAGAUGCAUGGAGGUGGUCACUCAGGGGCAUCUCAGCCCAAACUAGUGUGUUCUCUGCAUGCUUUCAUGCAAUCUUCCUCUUGUGAGCACAGGUGCUAGCAAACAUGUAUUUUUUGAACGUGAGCAGAGUCUUGCAAGAUGCCAGUACCGCUGGUGAUCGACCAGCUGGAAUCAUGGGCGCUACCAAGGGACUAACAUAGCUACAUGAGUGCUAGGUAAGGUGUUUUAAUGGCAAGGGAUGACAAGAGAAAAUGCUUUACCGCUUCCCUUUUUUAUGAUUUCUAGUGAUAUACUACUAGCAUAAAGCAUGGUUCCUGAUGCGCGUACUUGUCGCAACCUGAUAUUCAAAAGUGAAACUAGCCACUUCAUUUUUACUAGCAACAUCCCACGUACAGCUUUGGCUAGGCCUUUGAGUCAAACUGCUCUAGCCUUUAGAAACCACAUACUAUUUGCACUCCUUAUCAACACUAGUCUUUGGAUUUUUUUAGAUCACAUAAUAUUCGUGCGUAUUCAAAACAGCUAGUCUAGCAUGUUUUGCUGGCGACAUUACUGGUUGUUGUUAGCCCCAACACUCUACUUAUGGUUCAACACUGUACUUAUGCACAACAACAUCAACAUUCGAGGCCAGAUGAACAAAACAUCAAUGACUCAUGAAGUCGAUGUAUAUCUCUCAUCAAUAAUAUUGCAUCCAUGAUUAAAUAAAAUCCAAUGAAACACUACAAAUUCAUAUGUAGUACUUUUCUUUUUACGAGUAUCUCCUUUCCAAACAUACGUCCGAUAAAUGGAAUGUAAUACAUGAAGACCAUGUUAACCUAAUUGAACCGUUUCAUCGGUUAGAGUUCGCCAUCGGCAUUACAUCUUGCUCCAUCGUGGGAUUUAGGAUAUGGCUGAUUCAGAUGGGUUUGUGUGGGUAAAUGGCUCUUGAAGAUUUGCCAUUACUUUUGCUGAGGGGUGGCAAAUGGUUACUAUCUGCCUUCCUUCUGGGUGGACCCCUUAUUGCUUGGACUUGAUGGACCUACUUCUCGAACUUGAUACAAUUCUCUUCUCUGAUUUUUCAUGCGGUUUAGCUUGAUGACAAUAGACUUGAAAUUGAUUUUAUUUUUUUCUCGAACUUGCU